rnacentral:rRNA from 1 species
GAUGAACGCUGGCGGCGUGCUUAACACAUGCAAGUCGAACGGAAAGGCUCCUGCUUGCAGGGGUACUCGAGUGGCGAACGGGUGAGUAACACGUGGGUGAUCUGCCCUGCACUUCGGGAUAAGCCUGGGAAACUGGGUCUAAUACCGGAUAGGACCACAUUUUGGAUGGUGUGGUGGAAAGUUUUUCGGUGUGGGAUGAGCUCGCGGCCUAUCAGCUUGUUGGUGGGGUAAUGGCCUACCAAGGCGUCGACGGGUAGCCGGCCUGAGAGGGUGUACGGCCACAUUGGGACUGAGAUACGGCCCAGACUCCUACGGGAGGCAGCAGUGGGGAAUAUUGCACAAUGGGCGCAAGCCUGAUGCAGCGAUGCCGCGUGGGGGAUGACGGCCUUCGGGUUGUAAACUCCUUUCGCUAGGGACGAAGCGUUUUUGUGACGGUACCUGGAGAAGAAGCACCGGCUAACUACGUG